AAAAUUAUUGGAAUGAUACUAGCCAUGCGAGUCAUUGUAGCAAUACAAGGCAGACGGCUCAGUAACGCGUCCUUUAAAAAACCUAUGGAUGGGAACAACCCCGGGAAACCGCCUUAAAACCCGACAGAACACGAGGCCGGGAAAGGCCCAAGGCCCAAAAGAACCACCGCCGAAGGAAGGGACGGCCCCCAACCAGCCCGCCGGCGAGGCAAGGGCCCACCAAGACCACAACAGGCACGGGCCCAGAGAGGAGAAGCCCGGAGAAGGGCACCGAGACACGGACCCAGGCCCCAGGGGGCGCAGCAGGCGAGAAAACCCCGCAAGGGGCGAAAGCACGACAAAGGCAAACCGAGCGGGCCCCGGCAAAAGGAACCCCCGGCCGGCCCAAAAACACCCGAAAAAAAAGGGGGAGGCAAGACCCGGGGGCCGCCCGCCCGGGAAAAACCAGGACCCCAAGGGGGCAGGAAGAACACGGGGCCCAAAGCAACCGGAGCCGGGGCCGGAAGGGGGCGGGGAAAACCGGACGCCCAAAGGAAAGGGGGGCCGGGAAACCGGAAACGCCAGGGAGGGGGAAAAGAAGACCGGACCCGCGAAGGAAAGGGAAAAACCCCCCGAACCAAAGACGACCCCCCGGGGGGAAGGGGGCCCACCCGAAAACGCCCAAAGGGGAGGGAGAAAAGCGGGGGGAGAAAACCGA
rnacentral:rRNA from 1 species